UACGAAGGGGGCUAGCGUUGCUCGGAAUCACUGGGCGUAAAGCGCACGUAGGCGGAUUGUUAAGUCAGGGGUGAAAUCCUGGAGCUCAACUCCAGAACUGCCUUUGAUACUGGCGAUCUCGAGUCCGGGAGAGGUGAGUGGAACUGCGAGUGUAGAGGUGAAAUUCGUAGAUAUUCGCAAGAACACCAGUGGCGAAGGCGGCUCACUGGCCCGGUACUGACGCUGAGACGCGAAAGCGUGGGAGCGAACAGG
rnacentral:rRNA from 1 species